rnacentral:rRNA from 1 species
ACAGCAGCAGCCGCGGUAAUACGGAGGGGGCUAGCGUUGUUCGGAAUUACUGGGCGUAAAGCGCACGUAGGCGGAUCGAUCAGUCAGGGGUGAAAUCCCAGAGCUCAACUCUGGAACUGCCUUUGAUACUGUCGAUCUGGAGUGUGGAAGAGGUGAGUGGAAUUCCGAGUGUAGAGGUGAAAUUCGUAGAUAUUCGGAGGAACACCAGUGGCGAAGGCGGCUCACUGGUCCAUUACUGACGCUGAGGUGCGAAAGCGUGGGGAGCAAACAGGAUUAGAUACCCGCGUAGUCCCUGUCUCUUAUAC